UACGGAGGAUGCAAGCGUUAUCCGGAAUUAUUGGGCGUAAAGCGUCCGUAGGUGGCCGUUCAAGUCUGCCGUUAAAACCAGUGGCUUAACCACUGACAGGCGGUGGAAACUGAAUAGCUAGAGUGUGGUAGGGGUAGAGGGAAUUCCCAGUGUAGCGGUGAAAUGCGUAGAGAUUGGGAAGAACACCGGUGGCGAAAGCGCUCUGCUGGACCACAACUGACACUCACAGGACGAAAGCUAGGGGAGCGAAAGGG
rnacentral:rRNA from 2 species